rnacentral:rRNA from 1 species
AGAGUUUGAUCCUGGCUCAGGAUGAACGCUGGCGGCGUGCUUAACACAUGCAAGUCGAACGAUCCUUCGGGAUAGUGGCGGACGGGUGAGUAACGCGUGGGAAUCUGCCCUCAGGAGGGGGAUAACGGCUGGAAACGGCCGCUAAUACCCCAUAUGCCGAGAGGUGAAAUGAAUUUCGCCUGAGGAUGAGCCCGCGUCUGAUUAGCUAGUUGAUGGGGUAAAGGCCUACCAAGGCAACGAUCAGUAGCUGGUCUGAGAGGAUGAUCAGCCACACUGGGACUGAGACACGGCCCAGACUCCUACGGGGGGCAGCAGUGGGGAAUUUUCCGCAAUGGGCGAAAGCCUGACGGAGCAACGCCGCGUGAGGGAUGAAGGCCUCUGGGCUGUAAACCUCUUUUCUCAAGGAAGAAGACCUGACGGUACUUGAGGAAUAAGCCACGGCUAAUUCCGUGCCAGCAGCCGCGGUAAUACGGGAGUGGCAAGCGUUAUCCGGAAUUAUUGGGCGUAAAGCGUCCGCAGGCGGCCUUGUAAGUCUGUUGUUAAAGCGUGGAGCUCAACUCCAUUUAAGCAAUGGAAACUACAAGGCUGGAGUGUGGUAGGGGCAGAGGGAAUUCCCGGUGUAGCGGUGAAAUGCGUAGAUAUCGGGAAGAACACCAGUGGCGAAGGCGCUCUGCUGGGCCAUAACUGACGCUCAUGGACGAAAGCCAGGGGAGCGAAAGGGAUUAGAUACCCCUGUAGUCCUGGCCGUAAACGAUGAACACUAGGUGUCGGGGGAAUCGACCCCCUCGGUGUCGUAGCCAACGCGUUAAGUGUUCCGCCUGGGGAGUACGCACGCAAGUGUGAAACUCAAAGGAAUUGACGGGGGCCCGCACAAGCGGUGGAGUAUGUGGUUUAAUUCGAUGCAACGCGAAGAACCUUACCAGGGUUUGACAUCCUGCGAACCCCUGAGAAAUCGGGGGGUGCCUACGGGAGCGCAGAGACAGGUGGUGCAUGGCUGUCGUCAGCUCGUGUCGUGAGAUGUUGGGUUAAGUCCCGCAACGAGCGCAACCCACGUCUUUAGUUGCCAGCAUUCAGUUGGGCACUCUAGAGAGACCGCCGGUGAUAAACCGGAGGAAGGUGUGGAUGACGUCAAGUCAUCAUGCCCCUUACAUCCUGGGCUACACACGUACUACAAUGCUACGGACAAAGGGCAGCAAGCUCGCGAGAGUUAGCAAAUCCCAUAAACCGUGGCUCAGUUCAGAUCGUAGGCUGCAACUCGCCUACGUGAAGGAGGAAUCGCUAGUAAUCGCAGGUCAGCAUACUGCGGUGAAUACGUUCCCGGGCCUUGUACACACCGCCCGUCACACCAUGGAAGUUGGCCAUGCCCGAUGUCGUUACUCCAACCCUUGUGGAGGAGGACGCCGAAGGUGGGGCUGAUGACUGGGGUGAAGUCGUAACAAGGUA